rnacentral:lncRNA from 1 species
GUAUGGAGGUCGCCGGGUUGGAGGUCUUGAUCAUGAUUCUAUCACUUAUCCUGUUUCUGUAGACUUCUCAUGUUCUUUGACAUCUAUGGACUAUAUUGAGAGACAUGCAUAUUUGUGGUCUGUAAUGAUAUUAUGUUUGUAAACCGAUUUGGGACAUGUAUGUGAAUCGAUUGUGUUUGUAAUGUAGAUGUGAUGUUUGUGAUAUAGAUGUGAUGUUGGUGGUCUUUGUGAUCAUAUAUGUGUUUUUGAUAUAUAUAUGCGUGG